rnacentral:rRNA from 1 species
AGAGUUUGAUCCUGGCUCAGGACGAACGCUGGCGGCGUGCUUAACACAUGCAAGUCGAACGAUGAUCCGGUGCUUGCACCGGGGAUUAGUGGCGAACGGGUGAGUAACACGUGAGUAACCUGCCCUUGACUCUGGGAUAAGCCUGGGAAACCGGGUCUAAUACCGGAUAUGACUCUUCACCGCAUGGUGGGGGGUGGAAAGAUUUUUUGGUUUUGGAUGGACUCGCGGCCUAUCAGCUUGUUGGUGGGGUAAUGGCCUACCAAGGCGACGACGGGUAGCCGGCCUGAGAGGGUGACCGGCCACACUGGGACUGAGACACGGCCCAGACUCCUACGGGAGGCAGCAGUGGGGAAUAUUGCACAAUGGGCGCAAGCCUGAUGCAGCGACGCCGCGUGAGGGAUGACGGCCUUCGGGUUGUAAACCUCUUUCAGCAGGGAAGAAGCGGAAGUGACGGUACCUGCAGAAGAAGCGCCGGCUAACUACGUGCCAGCAGCCGCGGUAAUACGUAGGGCGCAAGCGUUGUCCGGAAUUAUUGGGCGUAAAGAGCUCGUAGGCGGUUUGUCGCGUCUGCUGUGAAAGCCCGGGGCUCAACCCCGGGUCUGCAGUGGGUACGGGCAGACUGGAGUGCAGUAGGGGAGACUGGAAUUCCUGGUGUAGCGGUGAAAUGCGCAGAUAUCAGGAGGAACACCGAUGGCGAAGGCAGGUCUCUGGGCUGUAACUGACGCUGAGGAGCGAAAGCAUGGGGAGCGAACAGGAUUAGAUACCCUGGUAGUCCAUGCCGUAAACGUUGGGCACUAGGUGUGGGGGACAUUCCACGUUUUCCGCGCCGUAGCUAACGCAUUAAGUGCCCCGCCUGGGGAGUACGGCCGCAAGGCUAAAACUCAAAUGAAUUGACGG